GAUGAACGCGGCGGCGUGCUCAACACAUGCAAGUCGAACGAAGCUGCCUGGAGGAAGUUUUCGGACGGAAUUUAGGUAGACUUAGUGGCGGACGGGUGAGUAACGCGUGGAUAACCUGCCUUAUACAGGGGGAUAACGGAGAGAAAUUUCCGCUAAGACCGCAUAAGACCACAGCACCGCAUGGUGCAGGGGUAAAAUAUUAAUAGGUAUAAGAUGGAUCCGCGUCCGAUUAGCUUGUUGGUGAGGUAGAGGCUCACCAAGGCGACGAUCGGUAGCCGGCCUGAGAGGGUGAACGGCCACAUUGGGACUGAGACACGGCCCAAACUCCUACGGGAGGCAGCAGUGGGGAAUAUUGGACAAUGGGGGAAACCCUGAUCCAGCGACGCCGCGUGAGUGAAGAAGUAUUUCGGUAUGUAAAGCUCUAUCAGCAGGGAAGAAAAUGACGGACCUAAUAAGAGCCCCGG
rnacentral:rRNA from 1 species